GCCUGGGUGGCUCAGUGGUUGAGUGUCUGCCUUUGACUCAGGGUGUGAUUCCAGGGUCUGGGAUCGAGUCCCAUAUCAGGCU
rnacentral:tRNA from 1 species